rfam:Triticum aestivum genome assembly, contig: Triticum_aestivum_CS42_TGACv1_scaffold_641106_T_1BL-0.284309_5BL-0.149373
CCGACUUUAGCUCAGUUGGUAGAGCGGAGGACUGUAGUGUUGCAGAUAAAUCCUUAGGUCGCUGGUUCGAAUCCGGCAAGUCGGA